GUUCAUUGCAAACGACUUACCCUAAAAGCACAACUGGAAUGUAUCUCUAUCAAUGCUGGGCUAUUGCAAUCGGCGAAUAUUUCAUCAACUUUUAGAGACAAAUAGACAAUUAAAAUAGGGAUUCUUCUGAUAUGCAAACUAUCCAAAAAACUGAUGUGAAUCUCACGGCAUUCAAAACUGAACACACGAUAACCCAUAGGAACCAACAGCGUAGGCUCUGACGAUACACAAUGAACAAAAAGAAGAUCGUGUCCUUCCAAAACUGAAGCUUUAUGGCGGUGGUUGGCUUUACAAAAUCCGCCAUAUUUCUCACUCUUGUUGUUUUGAUAGUGAAGGUCAAGCGAACAAUAAGCGCUCGCUCGUGGAAAAUCAAUAAUAUAUAAUUAAUUGGAAUAAUCGCAAUGCAUCACGGUAUAGUGAUCACUCCUCCUCUGAUCGAAGACCUGUAUUUUAUAGUCGCUUGUUCGAGCCUUCGAAGGCAUCUAGACGUUCAGUUGUAAAUUUUAAUAAUAAAUAAAAAUAAUAAAUAAUAGUAAUAAUGAUUUAAUAGCAUUUCCACAUAGUGGCUCUUCUAUGCUACAAGUGAGUUUGAUUAUAAGAUAACAAAGUAUACAAUACAUACAACGGAGUACAUAAUACGACACAACAAGUAUUACAAUACGUAGUAUGUUGUAAAUUACAGUAUUUAACAAUUGACAUUACUUAUACACAGUAAAAUACAGUAUAGUUAUACACACAAUGUCAACAGAGUUUACGACGUGUCACUAAUUCUGUUUUUGACUAAUGUUUUGAAGUACUCGGAGGAGGUUCUGCAAUAAUCUUUAAAUGUAUCGCAGUUUCGAAUUUCUUCAGGUAAAGAAUUGAACACUAGAGCUGCUUCAUCUUGGAAGGUUCCAGAGAUAAUAGGGACUACUAGACGCCGGGCAGAUGAUGAUCGUAAUGGUCUUAUAGGAAUAUAUUCCUCUAAUUUUAAGUAUGAAGGCCAGUUAUCACAAUUCAUUGCUUUGUAUGCUAAUUUGGCAAGAUGAUAAUUCCUACGUUCCAAAAUUGGAAGCCAACCGAGAGACAUGACAUCAGUGAAUCUAGCGUACCUAUUAAAUACAAAGCCAGCAGCAGCGAACUGCACUCGUUGUAAGCGUUUUAAUAGGUAUUCUGGUACUGGACUAGACACGACAUCGUUGUAAUCAAUUUUUGAUAGCACCAGACACUCCGCGAGUUGCUUCCGAAUUUUAAAUAGUGCCAAAUGUUUCAAUUUUCUCAAGACGGAUAAUGUCGCGUAACAACUUGAGAUCUUUUUGUUUACAUCAUCAUUCCAUUUUAAAUUUUGAUGCAAUGUAGUACCAAGAAGAGCCGCACAUUUAGUUCUUUUAAGUUCAAUUCCAUUAGCAUGAAGAUGAACAGAAUGAUCUUCAUCAAGUUGGUGCACACGAGAGAGUUGACUAGUCGAGAAAAGCAUGACUUUUGUCUUAUAUUGGGGUUAAGAACAAGGUUAUUAGAACUAGACCAGGUGGAAAGUUUAUCUAGAUUGGAUUGAAUUUCCUCUUCACAUGACUUUAAGUCAGCUGGCUUACAAUGUGCAUAGAUGGUAGUGUCAUCGGCAUACUGAUGUGAAGAUAUAGAGUCGUCAAGGUUUUCAGAGAGAUCAUUGACAUAUAUAGGUUGAAGAGUACAGGACCAAGUAUAGACCCUUGUGGAACUCCAAAACAAACGUUAGUUGUGUUUGACACUGCGUCGUCUAUUUGAACAAACUGUCGUCGACCAGUCAGAUAGCUUGUGACCCAUUUGAGAUACUCUUUGGAGAAACCUUGUGAAUGGAGUUUUCUUAAGAUGGUAGAAUACGACACAGUAUCGAACGCUUUCGAGAAAUCUGCGAGAACAGCUAUUGUGACUUCACCUCUUUUCAUAGCUCGCUGAAUAUCAUCUCACAUUGCCAACAUAACUGUCGUAGUGUUGUGACCUUUGCGGUAAGCACUAGUGAAUUGAUUAAGUUUUUAUGGAUUUAUUAAGUUUUUAGUUUUUUAUUAAGUUUGGGUUUUUUUUAUUUUUUUUUUUAUUUAUUUUUUUUUAAAUUUUCGAUUUACAGUCUCUACUUAUCUGUGUUGUUAAGAAAAUCGUAUAGCUUAUUUGUGUGAUAUACAUGGAUGUUGUAUUUUCUGUUUAGUAUUUGCUAAGUUGACAUGUAUACUUUAAUACAUGUGUGAUUUGUUUGAAAUGCAUAUACUAUAAACUCUUGACGAAGGGCCUUCAUUCGAAACGUCGAGUUUCUGCUUGUUUUUUUAAGGUAGUAAUAUAACCACUCAGCACAGCAUUUUCACAUUGGUACUACCCACACUGGUACAGAUAGUUUUAGUACCGGGUGUCCCCAAAAAAGUACUCUGGUUUGAUUCUUAAUAACUCUGAAGUGGGUGAAGCUAUUACACUCAAAUAUAUUUUAUUACAUAGAGGAAAGGCUAACUUAGAUUUUGAUAUAUUCCAGUUGUAUAUUUAUAAAAAAACUGACCGAGAUAUUAAUGUUCAAAUUUGGUAGCAUAUUUCUGGAUGUGUAAAAAAUUUGCGAAAAACGGCGUAUCAAAUAUUAACCAAGCGUUGCUCAACUUAAAGACAUAUUAUUAUGAGUAAAUUGAUGAAACUUGAUAAAAUGUUUAUUGUGAAACGAUGUAUUAUUAUUUACCGAAAUACAAACAAGAUUUAUUCGUUCGGAAUCGCGUGACUUCCAACAUGACUGCAUUGUCUAGCUCGUUGGAGACCAUAGCGUCGUGGCAUGUCGCUUCAUGCAAAAACUUCUUGUGCGUUGCGCGUUCGUUUUGUCGGGGCAGGAGUAUUACCCCAGCGACCCGGCCAUCGUCUUCUAACUCCUGCCGCGUUAAUUUUGGAAUCUUGCAUGCUCUAAGAAAAUCCAAACUCUGUGAUCCUUAUAGUUAAUCUUGGCAUACUCAAAAUGAAACACAAUUAAACUAUAACAUAACAACAAUCAUAACAUAACAUGCAACUCCCCAGAGACAUGCAACAUUCUUGGAACAAAAUGUAUAAAAAAUAUAGCGCUGAUACAGUAACAUGUACUUGCAAAAAGAUUGCUAGAAUUCAGUAUUAUUUAAACUACCAUAUUCAUCCUAUACAAACUUUCAUGCAAUGUCAUGCAACUUUGUUAUGUUCGUUUGAGACUACUCAAAAUAUGAAUAAGCCGUUCAAGAAAAUUUAUUACCCGAAAACUUGUUUUUGAGUAUUUUUAAAAAUCAAUCAAAAACUUGCAUAAAUUCAAACGUUAGUAUAUCUCAGUAAAUAAUGAGCGAAAACUUACAUCUAACAUAUCAAAAUCUAAGUUAGCCUUUCCUCUAUUUAAUAAAAGUUAUUUGAGUCUAAUUGCUUCACUCGCUUUGAAGUUAUUGAGAAUCAAACCGGAGUACUUUUUUUGGGACACCCGGUAUAUAUAUUCACAUUAAUAGCAUGUAGACAGCAUUUCCUAAUAUUACCCAAUGGAUGGCAUGUACUUGCUAUGGUAUAACCCUCCUAUCCGUCAGCCUAAAACAUGUUAAGGGUCUGCUUAUAUAGAGGCAAGCCAGCCCAGGUAACUAACCUGGCUAUAGCUUGCUUUCGCAGGAUGAAUGUCUGUUUACAUGCGCCUCUUUAGAUGGGCAGGCUUGCCAAAACAAAUCACCCAGACUGAGUUGUAUAAUAGAAGCACAUUUUCUAAUAAAGUAAACCGACAUCAAACUUAUGCAGACAUUUUCGAAAUGUAAUCCAUUGAGCCGCAAUGCGCCCCAGUACGCCCAACUUAUAUUUUUUUACUUGUUUAACACCAGACGAUUUUACUCGUCAGUGGGGAAGUCUGCAGCUUAAUGGGUUAACCAAAAAAUCUGACAAUGUCUCUAGUUAACCCAUUGAGCCGCAAUGUGCCCCAGUGCGACCUACUUAUUUUAUUUACUUGUCUACCGCAAGCAGUGGUGUAACUUUACUUUUUGACUGCUUGCCCUCAGGGCAAGUUGGUCAUGAAAAUUAGUUACUCUGAAUAAAAUCCACUUGCCAUCAGACAAUGGCCACUUGGGGUACCUAGGUAGGGGGUAUAAAUUAAGAGGACAACAUGUCAACCCGUUCUCCCACUGCUCUAUAUGUCUAUGUGAUACUUCCUCAGAUCUAGCUUUGGUCCGCGAAAAACAAAAUUUGAAUCCAGUCCAUGCACUAUAAAACAAAAUAUAUCCGACAAUGAAAACAUAAACUUAAAGAUGCCCAGCUUUUUGUGGCAAGGCAACGUGCCCAAUCGGGCAAGCAAGAUAAAGUGUUUACUUGCCCAUCAUGAUAUUCACUUGCCCCGAGCAAGUGGUAAGUUACACCUCUGGCCAAAUGAUUUUACUCGUCAAUGGGAAAGCUCAAAGUCUACAGCUUAAUGGGUUAAUAUUCAAAUUGAUUGGGAAAUGUCAUUUAGAAGAUUAUGUACAUUCUGCCUAAACAAAGCACUAAUACUGUGCCAAACCCGGGGUCAUUGUAUAUAGUUUAUAUGGAAAUUCCUAGCUUGGCAUUAGCAACAUUUUGGGUCAAUUGAGGCAGUAUCUUUAUUUAUUUAGCUUUGCCAACUAGGGCGGGGUCACCACAACAGCAUAUGCCAAUUACUGUUGGCCCUUUUACCUCACCCACCCUGUCAACUUUCCCUGUAGGAGGAAACCAGAGUACCCAGAGAAAACCCACGACUUUCCACAGAGUGUUGUCUGUUGACUUUUACAUAAAGAUUUUUAUAUAAAGAUUUUUAUAUAAAGAUUU